CCUACGGGUGGCAGCAGUGGGGAAUAUUGGGCAAUGGGCGCAAGCCUGACCCAGCAACGCCGCGUGAAGGAAGAAGGCUUUCGGGUUGUAAACUUCUUUUGACAGGGAAGAGUAGAAGACGGUACCUGUCGAAUAAGCCACGGCCAACUACGUGCCAGCAGCCGCGGUAAUACGUAGGGGGCAAGCGUUGUCCGGAUUUACUGGGGGUAAAGGGCGGGUAGCCGGGUUGGCAAGUCAGAUGUGAAAUCCCGCGGCUUAACCGCAGAACUGCAUUUGAAACUGUUGAUCUUGAGUACUGGAGAGGCAGACGGAAUUCCUAGUGUAGCGGUGAAAUGCGUAGAUAUUAGGAGGAACACCAGUGGCGAAGGCGGUCUACUGGACAGCAACUGACGGUGAGGCGCGAAAGCGUGGGGAGCAAACAGGAUUAGAUACCCCGGUAGUC
rnacentral:rRNA from 1 species